AGAAUUCCACUUGUCACAAACACGCUCACAGGAAUUGAGGAGCCUCUUCUGUGGAUACUAUCUAGGCACAGUGAUCGAACGUGCUUUGGACCGGGGCUUGGGAGAUGCAACUUCUGGCCUUAGCUUUGCCAGAGACUUGCUGGGAGACAAGGGCAUGCAUUUGCCCUUCUCAGGGGUGUUAAGAGCUCUGUAGUCUGCAGAAUGCACGGGUGGGCUGGGUGAUAUGAGACAGCCAGAUUGGGUGUAAGUGUCAUCCAGAUUUGGAAGAAGGCAGGUUUGGGGUGGAAUCUUAUUUAUGCCACUUACAAGUUGCGUGACUUGAGAUGAUCACUCGACCUCUUUAAGGCUCGAUUUCCUCAUCUAUCAAUCAAAGAUGAUAAUCCCUAUGCCAUGGAGGAUUUCAUACGAAAAUGCAUGUAACAGUGAAUGUUCAGUUAAAGAUCACCGCUCUUUCACUCUCCUGCUGCUGGAAGGUCCACAGAAAACAUCCUGGGGUCCUGAGCUGAAGUGUGAUGGGAGGAGUCCUCUGUAUCUCAGUCUGAUCCUGGUCUCCCUCUCGGCCAUGGUCUCACACUAGUGCUGCUGGGAAACCAUCCCUCACAUCCAGUCCUGGCAUCGGGCAGUGACUCUGGUCCAACUGUUGUCCAACUCAAGGGUUUAGCUGCUUAGAUUUUCCUAAAACUUGAAUUUCAUUUUCCUCUAGCCAUGGAAUACAGAUUAAUCCUUUACAAUUAAAAUCCAAGUUCAGAUUUUA
ensembl:lncRNA LINC01954 long intergenic non-protein coding RNA 1954